GUCCUUGUCGAUUAGUGGUUAGAUCAUCACGUUGUGGCUUUUUCAGAGCGGAACCGUGAAGACGGAGGCUCGAAUCCUCCCUGGGACA